rnacentral:lncRNA from 1 species
UAGCUCAAAGUGCUAGCAUUCAAAUGAGCACCAAUAAUUCUUGAAGAACCUUCAACGCUUGUUCCUUCUGCAACCUGUUAAAAUGGGAUGCGAUCAAUUUAGUACUUCAACACUUAUUUUGGAGAUAACAUAUUCAAAUAGAUAGGAGGAAUUGUCAUGUAGUAAUAGCAAGCCUCAGAGCUAGGCCUACAAUUCCCAAUCCAAAAGCAGCUAAACUUGAGCCCUUUGUUGUUUUGGCAACAUUCAGAGUUGCACCAAGGCCUAUAAGCAUGCGCAACUUGACUAAUUUACAUAUGAAUAGAGUCUCUAUAGAAUUUACCCCUCAAAAUAGAGAAUGAGUUAAUAAAGGAAAAAACUCAAGAUAGGCCAAACGCUUACUAUCUCUAUUUCAAUUAUGGCAUUCUACUUUAGAAAUUUUCUGGUCUUUUAUCAGGCUUCAAAAAUUAAUUCUCGUCCAGUUUCCUCCUCUAUGAUAUUUGGAGUAAACUGUGAAUGUGUUACUUCAAAUUACUUAACUAUCAAUAUUUUACGGUAAGUGAAAUCCAUCUUCAUCAUUAAUUAUGAAAUCAUCAUAAUAACUAUACUUUUGUCUUACGCAGUCAUACUUGGACUUGAAAAAGGAAAAUAGGUUCAGAAAAUUGAAUGUACACAAGCAGAGUUAAAAAUACCGAAUAAACAUUACUAUCUUUGUCAUAAACAUUACUUAUCCAUAAAAUAGUUUCUGUUUCUCACUAACAUUGAUCUCCAUGUUUGGGAGCGUGUUUUGCUGGCCAUGGAGAUUCCUUCCAUAUUUACAUCCACGCAAAUCUACCAAAUAGAAGAAGAAUGAUCAUGAAAUCCUCGGGAAGUUGAGAUUUAUUAAACUGUAUCUUCCAAUAUAUCAGAAAGAUUCGAUGAACUGGUGAACCCAUCCUUCAA